UACGUAGGGACCGAGCGUUGUCCGGAAUCAUUGGGCGUAAAGCGCGCGUAGGCGGCCAGAUAAGUCCGGUGUGAAAGUCACAGGCUCAACCUGUGAAUGCCGCUGGAAACUGUCUGGCUAGAGUCCGGAAGGGGCGAGUGGAAUUCCUGGUGUAGCGGUGAAAUGCGCAGAUAUCAGGAGGAACAUCAGUGGCGAAGGCGGCCAUCUGGGACAACACUGACGCUGAAGCACGAAAGCGUGGGGAGCAAACAGG
rnacentral:rRNA from 1 species